UCUGUGCAUCUGGCUCUGCACACACAAUUACCUCCAGCCUUUGGAGUACCAUUGCAGUCAAAUAUUGGUUGGUAAUUACACUGUACUUAGCAUAUGUGAACUACAACUGGAAGCAGCAAAAGAGUAUUUAAGGAUUGUGAUGUUAUAGUACAGCUGGCAAAAGAAUUCAGAGGUUUUCCACGUAAGCACGGAUUGGUAAUUCUUUCAAAACAAGUUAGGAAUGUCAGGUUUAGAGGUUCAGCCCGGAGUUUAAGAACUGUUUCUGAAAUACAGAGGGUACCUCAAGUUGUGGUUAUGGCUGCACCAAAGAUGCCUUCAUCAUCUCUGGAAGUGAAUCCCAUUCAAACAAGUAUCGGAGUUCCACGUGGUGUGUUUUAUGAACUGAUGUCUUUCAGCCACAGCUGUGUGUCCACGGUAGUGCUGGGUCUCCUGUUGGUAACUUCAUUGUGAUUCACUUCCUGCUGGUUAUUUAAUGCUGCAGCUUCAAUUUAAAACUCACUUUAAACUUCUUUUAAAAAUGGUGUUAAAUUCAAAUUGCACCCCAAAUCCUUAUAAAUGCAAGGUCACAAAGUCAUCUGUUGCUUUUUAAAUGACUUUAUGCAAUUUUGAGACAGGUCAGGCAGUGUUGUGGCUGGGACACGUCUGCACCUCGUGCUCUUUUGUCCUCCCAGGUCACGGAGUCAUCGCUUGGGACUGUGGAACUGAAUUCUGUGACUGAGUGGACCAAAAGGUUCAGAGCCCUCUGGCCAGGUUAAAUCCAGCACGUGCAUACUGCCCUCUAUGUCUGGGGCUGCUCCCUCUGCCUAUCUUCAGAGAUGGAUCCCAUACCAAUGGGCAUUUUGCAGAAUCACAGAAUGGCCAGGGUUGGAAGGAACCUCAAGGA